UCUCUUCCAUUAAGCAUGUUUCAAUGCAUACUGCGCAGGACUCCAUGAAUGUAGCCACCAGCCAUUACCAACGACACAAGAGAUACAACACCUGCAGGAAAAAUCUUUUUUGACCUUAAGAAACGAGAGCCCAUCACUCCCAUCAGUAUAGAAGACACACCAAGCCCUAUAGACGAGGCAUAAACUGGAUUUGUAGGAAGCUGCGUAUGUACAUAAUACAGUAUUGAAGCAGAUAGGCCUCCUGCCAAAAGUGAUUUCUGGCUACCACUUUUCAAAUAGCCCAUAAGACCACCCAUUCC
rnacentral:misc_RNA from 1 species